rnacentral:lncRNA from 1 species
UUCAUAAACCAAUCCAUAGUUCAUUGCAUAAACUACCAGGAAGAUCAUCUUCCACUUUACUAAUACAAAGUAUGAAAAUAGCAUAUCCUAGUGUUCAACCAAACAAAAAAAGACCAUAUCUGUUUUCUGAACCAUUCAAAAGCAUGUUUCCAUUACAAAAGAGGAACAUAUCCUUUACGGGCUAUAUUAUCAUCCUAACAGUUAGAUGAACUUUCAUUAGGUGGUAUCCGAGAGUCUUGAUGCACACGUGUCCUAGUGCUGGAAGAUUGACUGGAGAACAAUACAUCACCAAAUCUUGUUGAAUGCCUUUGGAUCUGGUACAAAUAAAACAAGUUAUUGGUGAUGUAUAUUUACUUUAUCUUGCCUAUGAAUUGUAUAUGAAUUGCAGAACAAUAUAUACCUGAGUAGUGGGUAUACUACCCUCAUUAGCAUUGGUAUUAGUGCUCAAUUGUGAGCCUCCGGUCAGGGGGUCAUUUGUCCACUAGUUACACAUGACAUUAGUUAGUUCAAAUGCAGCUGAAAUUAAGCAAAAGUGUGUAAAAAUACAGCUGAAAUACUUACCAUUUGAACUGUCCGGGUUUCAGAAGUGUUAUGAGAUUGCAUGGCCAUCCUUGCCACCUAUCAUUAAUGAGAAAGACAUUAAUACAAGUUAAAAAUGAACCAGUUUGGAAAUAUACAUAAUGCCUAAAAUAAUAUUGGAUCACCAUAUCAGAUGGGAUGAAAUUUCUGCCAUCAGACAUGCCAAUACCAUUCCAAUUUCCAAAUCCAGAAAGCGGUGGAGGACAUCCUGAAAAUUCACCUCUCCCUCUUUUCCCUCUUGCCCCACCUCUAGUUGAGGAUUCCACUCCCUUACCAUUACCUCUUCCCCUACCAUUACUUCUGCCCCUUCUAUUACCCCUUCC